AAAACGGCCCUUUUCAGGGCCACCAUUACAUUCUAGAGUAAAGAGU
rfam:Aedes aegypti strain Liverpool supercont1.94 genomic scaffold, whole genome shotgun sequence.